rnacentral:rRNA from 1 species
CCGGACCUGACUGCUAUCGGAUUGGUACUAAGCCAUGCGAGUCAUUGUAGCAAUACAAGGCGGACGGCUCAGUAACACGUAGUCAACCUAACUCGUGGACGUGGAUAACCUCGGGAAACUGAGAAUAAACCACGAUAGAUCAUAGUGCCUGGAAUGGCUUAUGGUCCAAACAGUUUACUGCCAUGGGAUGGGACUGCGGCCUAUCAGCUUGUUGGUGAGGUAAUGGCCCACCAAGGCGAUUACAGGUACGGGCUCUGAGAGGAGAAGCCCGGAGAUGGGUACUGAGACACGGACCCAGGCCCUAUGGGGCGCAGCAGGCGAGAAACCUUAGCAAUGUGCGAAAGCACGACUGGGUCAGUCCGAGUGAUUCCUGAUAAAGGAGUCUUUUGCCUGUCCUAAAAGCACAGGUGAAUAAGGGGUGGGCAAGUCUGGUGUCAGCCGCCGCGGUAAUACCAGCACCUCGAGUGGUCAGGACGUUUAUUGGGCCUAAAGCAUCCGUAGCCGGCUCUGCAAGUCUUCGGUUAAAUCCACCUGCUCAACAGAUGGGCCGCUGGAGAUACUACAGAGCUAGGGAGUGGGAGAGGCAGACGGUAUUCAGUGGGUAGGGGUAAAAUCCUCUGAUCCAUUGAGGACCACCAGUGGCGAAGGCGGUCUGCCAGAACACGUUCGACGGUGAGGGAUGAAAGCUGGGGGAGCAAACCGGAUUAGAUACCCGGGUAGUCCCAGCUGUAAACGAUGCAAACUCGGUGAUGCAUUGGCUUAUGGCCAAUGCAGUGCCGCAGGGAAGCCGUUAAGUUUGCCGCCUGGGAAGUACGGACGCAAGUCUGAGACUUAAAGGAAUUGGCGGGGGAGCACCACAAGGGUGAAGCCUGCGGUUCAAUUGGAGUCAACGCCGG